rnacentral:rRNA from 1 species
AUUGAACGCUGGCGGCAGGCCUAACACAUGCAAGUCGAACGAGCGGCGGACGGGUGAGUAAUGCAUGGGAAUCUGGCUGAUGGAGGGGGAUAACGACGGGAAACGGUAGCUAAUACCGCGUACCAUAGGAUGAGCCCAAAUGGGAUUAGGUGGUUGGUAGGGUAAGGGCCUACCAAGGCGACGAUGCCUAGCUGGUCUGAGAGGAUGAUCAGCCACACUGGGACUGAGACACGGCCCAGACUCCUACGGGAGGCAGCAGUGGGGAAUAUUGCGCAAUGGGGGCAACCCUGACGCAGCCAUGCCGCGUGAGUGAAGAAGGCCUUCGGGUUGUAAAGCACUUUCGGUGGGGAGGCGUUAACCACAGAAGAAGCACCGGCUAACUCCGUGCCAGCAGCCGCGGUAAUUC